rnacentral:tRNA from 1 species
CAAAUUAAAGCUUUAAAAGUAUUUCAUUUACAUUGAAAAGAUUUUGUUAAAUUCAAAUAAUUUGAAAAAAAAAAAUUAAUUAAUA